rnacentral:rRNA from 1 species
UUAAGCGACUAAGCGUACACGGUGGAUGCCCUGGCAGUCAGAGGCGAUGAAGGACGUGCUAAUCUGCGAAAAGCGUCGGUAAGGUGAUAUGAACCGUUAUAACCGGCGAUGUCCGAAUGGGGAAACCCAGUGCAAUUCGUUGCACUAUCGUUAACUGAAUACAUAGGUUAACGAGGCGAACCGGGGGAACUGAAACAUCUAAGUACCCCGAGGAAAAGAAAUCAACCGAGAUUCCCCCAGUAGCGGCGAGCGAACGGGGAGCAGCCCAGAGUCUGAAUCAGCUUGUGUGUUAGUGGAACGGUCUGGAAAGUCCGACGGUACAGGGUGAUAGUCCCGUACACCAAAAUGCACAGGCUGUGAACUCGAAGAGUAGGGCGGGACACGUGGUAUCCUGUCUGAAUAUGGGGGGACCAUCCUCCAAGGCUAAAUACUCCUGACUGACCGAUAGUGAACCAGUACCGUGAGGGAAAGGCGAAAAGAACCCCGGCGAGGGGAGUGAAAAAGAACCUGAAACCGUGUACGUACAAGCAGUGGGAGCACCUUCGGGUGUGACUGCGUACCUUUUGUAUAAUGGGUCAGCGACUUAUAUUCUGUAGCAAGGUUAACCGUAUAGGGGAGCCGCAGGGAAACCGAGUCUUAACUGGGCGUUAAGUUGCAGGGUAUAGACCCGAAACCCGGUGAUCUAGCCAUGGGCAGGUUGAAGGUUGGGUAACACUAACUGGAGGACCGAACCGACUAAUGUUGAAAAAUUAGCGGAUGACUUGUGGCUGGGGGUGAAAGGCCAAUCAAACCGGGAGAUAGCUGGUUCUCCCCGAAAGCUAUUUAGGUAGCGCCUCGUGAACUCAUCUUCGGGGGUAGAGCACUGUUUCGGCUAGGGGGUCAUCCCGACUUACCAACCCGAUGCAAACUACGAAUACCGAAGAAUGUUAUCACGGGAGACACACGGCGGGUGCUAACGUCCGUCGUGAAGAGGGAAACAACCCAGACCGCCAGCUAAGGUCCCAAAGUCAUGGUUAAGUGGGAAACGAUGUGGGAAGGCACAGACAGCCAGGAUGUUGGCUUAGAAGCAGCCAUCAUUUAAAGAAAGCGUAAUAGCUCACUGGUCGAGUCGGCCUGCGCGGAAGAUGUAACGGGGCUAAACCAUGCACCGAAGCUGCGGCAGCGACACUAUGUGUUGUUGGGUAGGGGAGCGUUCUGUAAGCCUGCGAAGGUGACCUGUGAGGGUUGCUGGAGGUAUCAGAAGUGCGAAUGCUGACAUAAGUAACGAUAAAGCGGGUGAAAAGCCCGCUCGCCGGAAGACCAAGGGUUCCUGUCCAACGUUAAUCGGGGCAGGGUGAGUCGACCCCUAAGGCGAGGCCGAAAGGCGUAGUCGAUGGGAAACAGGUUAAUAUUCCUGUACUUGGUGUUACUGCGAAGGGGGGACGGAGAAGGCUAUGUUAGCCGGGCGACGGUUGUCCCGGUUUAAGCAUGUAGGCUGGUUGUCCAGGCAAAUCCGGAUAAUCAAGGCUGAGGUGUGAUGACGAGGCACUACGGUGCUGAAGUAACAAAUGCCCUGCUUCCAGGAAAAGCCUCUAAGCAUCAGGUAACAUCAAAUCGUACCCCAAACCGACACAGGUGGUCAGGUAGAGAAUACCAAGGCGCUUGAGAGAACUCGGGUGAAGGAACUAGGCAAAAUGGUGCCGUAACUUCGGGAGAAGGCACGCUGGUGUGUAGGUGAAGUCCCUGCGGAUGGAGCUGAGACCAGUCGAAGAUACCAGCUGGCUGCAACUGUUUAUUAAAAACACAGCACUGUGCAAACACGAAAGUGGACGUAUACGGUGUGACGCCUGCCCGGUGCCGGAAGGUUAAUUGAUGGGGUUAUCCGUAAGGAGAAGCUCUUGAUCGAAGCCCCGGUAAACGGCGGCCGUAACUAUAACGGUCCUAAGGUAGCGAAAUUCCUUGUCGGGUAAGUUCCGACCUGCACGAAUGGCGUAAUGAUGGCCAGGCUGUCUCCACCCGAGACUCAGUGAAAUUGAACUCGCUGUGAAGAUGCAGUGUACCCGCGGCAAGACGGAAAGACCCCGUGAACCUUUACUAUAGCUUGACACUGAACAUUGAGCCUUGAUGUGUAGGAUAGGUGGGAGGCUUUGAAGCGUGGACGCCAGUCUGCGUGGAGCCAACCUUGAAAUACCACCCUUUAAUGUUUGAUGUUCUAACGUUGGCCCCUUAUCGGGGUUGCGGACAGUGUCUGGUGGGUAGUUUGACUGGGGCGGUCUCCUCCCAAAGCGUAACGGAGGAGCACGAAGGUUAGCUAAUCCUGGUCGGACAUCAGGAGGUUAGUGCAAUGGCAUAAGCUAGCUUGACUGCGAGCGUGACGGCGCGAGCAGGUGCGAAAGCAGGUCAUAGUGAUCCGGUGGUUCUGAAUGGAAGGGCCAUCGCUCAACGGAUAAAAGGUACUCCGGGGAUAACAGGCUGAUACCGCCCAAGAGUUCAUAUCGACGGCGGUGUUUGGCACCUCGAUGUCGGCUCAUCACAUCCUGGGGCUGAAGUAGGUCCCAAGGGUAUGGCUGUUCGCCAUUUAAAGUGGUACGCGAGCUGGGUUUAGAACGUCGUGAGACAGUUCGGUCCCUAUCUGCCGUGGGCGCUGGAGAAUUGAGGGGGGCUGCUCCUAGUACGAGAGGACCGGAGUGGACGCAUCACUGGUGUUCGGGUUGUCAUGCCAAUGGCACUGCCCGGUAGCUAAAUGCGGAAGAGAUAAGUGCUGAAAGCAUCUAAGCACGAAACUUGCCCCGAGAUGAGUUCUCCCUGAGACUUUAAGUCUCCUGAAGGAACGUUAAAGACGAUGACGUUGAUAGGCCGGGUGUGUAAGCGCAGCGAUGCGUUGAGCUAACCGGUACUAAUGAACCGUGAGGCUUAACCUU